ensembl:lncRNA
GUCCCGUAAGAGAUGGUCAUUAGGAUGCAGUUGUAUAAGACAGAUAUUUGGACCACCCUGAGGAAUUUGGAGGAUGAAGAGGAACCUGAAAUUGUAUCAAUGGUUUCUAAGCUCUGCUUCCAGAAUGAAGAAGUCCAACUCAUAUUUAAAAUGAAUGCCAAGGAAAAGGAAGAAUUUGUUCAGAGCUCAGGCAAUGAUGGUGUUGUGGUGUUUUCUCUUGGAUCAAUUCUCCAAAAUCUUUCAGAAGAAAAGGCUGAUAUUUUUGUUUCAGUCCUCACCCAAAUUCCACAGAAACUCAGUAUAAACUCCAAAUCUGGUUUUAUAGAUAUUUAUAAAAAAGAAAGAAAGUAGCCACAUUAUGAGCCAAUACUCAGCUCUAUGAUUGGAUAUUCCUGAAUUAUCUUCUUGGUAAGACUAUGAGAAAGUAAAAAUAAGCAAUUAGAUGAGCAACAAGGUGAAUAACAGUUUAACAGCUAAAAAUUCAAUAUUUUAAAAUUGUAAAAGUUUAUUAUUUUACUUCUAAAGCAGAUUUAUUUAAAAAAUCGAUCAUCAAUUGUAUAGAUUCACACUUUCUGUUGUUCUUGUAAGAGUUUCAGGCAAUGGGCCGGGCGCGGUGGCUCAAGCCUGUAAUCCCAGCACUUUGGGAGGCUGAGACGGGCGGAUCACAAGGUCAGGAGAUCGAGACCAUCCUGGCUAACCCGGUGAAACCCCGUCUCUACUAAAAAAUACAAAAAACUAGCCGGGCGAGGUGGUGGGCGCCUGUAGUCCCAGCUACUUGGGAGGCUGAGGCAGGAGAAUGGCGUAAACCCGGGAGGCGGAGCUUGCAGUGAGCUGAGAUCCGGCCACUGCACUCUAGCCUGGGCGACAGAGCGAGACUCCGUCUCAAAAAAAAAAAAAAAAUAAAUAUAAAAAGAGUUUCAGGCAAUGCAGAAAUAAUUAAUGCCUUGUUUUCUGAAGAUAGAAAAUUUCUGUGGUGGCAAUGUCCCAUGUGCUCAACUUUUGUAGAAAAUGCUGCUUUCUUCAGUGAGUUAUCUGAUUGCUUUUUCCCCUUCUUUCUCAGAAAUUCUUUUAACAUUAUAAUAGAAUUCUUACCCAUUUCCCAAUCUCAUUCCAAAAUUAAGUCAUCUCAAAACCAAAACUUUUGUUACUCCUGGUGAAACUAAUGGGACCUGUUAAGCUGUUUAUGAUAGGUCUUUAUGGUGUGAGUUCCCAUGUUUGCUGAUCUGCCUAAUGACAUCAUUCAUAUAAAGAUCAAAGGAACAGCUGUGGAGGUGAACACAUUUACAAGUGCACAAUUGCUCAAAGAUUUGAGAAUUGUUAUUCAUAAUUAUUUGUCAAUAUUGCUACUUUUAAAGUUUUUCCAACCAUUGAUGAUGUCACCAAUCACACUAGAAAAUGUUUGAGGCCAUGUGACUUUUCUAACCAUUUUUAGUUUGGUAAUUCACCGUCUUGGUCUUGGACCUGAAGUGUUAUGCUGACUCACAAUAUGCUGAUUCCUGGAGAGUGCACAAAUACAAAAAAUGAUAACUUCAAUGGAUGCAGAGAAGCCAAAAGAGUAAAACUGACACAUGCAAUAGACCAUACACAUCAGGAAAAUAUCUUAGGGAACAGUUUGAUAUGAGAAGCAUAAUGACUUCACUUUUUCUACAUGCUUAGCACUACUAGGCUAAGCAUAUAAAUUGAAAAUAAUGAUAAUAGGGGAUUACACUAGGAAAGGCUUACUAUUUUUUUAUAGAGUCCAUUUAGACCAUCACAGUCUACAUUUCCACCUUUGUCAACCAAUAUUUAUUGUGUUGCUUUAAAUAUAAGGGCCUAUUCUUUCUAAAACUUUAAAUAGUAAAGGUCAUUAAUCCUUUUUCAGAAAGAGAACAUGUCAACAAUAUGUUCAAAAGAAAUGGAUUCUUUCAAGGAAAAUAAUCAUAAUAUAAAAAGAACUCAUUUUAUGAAACUUUUUAAUUGACAGUGCACUUGAUAAACUUGGAUUUAUUAAUACGUUUUUUGCUGUACUUAAAAAAAUCACAAAUAUCCCAAAUCUCUCAUUUCUAAUCUUUAUUUAC